rnacentral:ncRNA from 1 species
GCGGCGCGCCACUCCACUACUUUGGCGCGGCGUACAUCAAAAAAGGAGGAAACGAUCCGCCCGACCGGCGGUGCGGCAGUGUGGAGACCUGUCGUAAUGCGCUCCGUCCCAUGCGGACGGUCGCGAGGCUUCGCGCGCGGAGGCGGCGGAGCCGCGGUCAGAGAACAUGGCA